UGAGAGAGAGAGAGAGAGAGAGAGAGAGAGAAAGAGUCGUGCGCGCUGAGCCAUGAGCCAUUUUUGGGAAGCUCUUCGUGACAGUCGGCUGUGUCGUGAUCUUUUGGAGAGGAGAACAUUUACGCAUGGUGCGCAACAUUUAUCCGAUCCACCGGCCACAUUUACAUUGACAAUAUUCCCACCAUCACAAAAGGGCAUAGCCUGGUUGCUAAUAUUAGCAAUCUCAUAGGCCAGAAGCCCUAAGACCAAGAAAAAAUAACUGAAAAACUACUUCAAGAAGACAUAACAACACAAUGAAAGGCCCUGCUGUCUACAUUUAUCAAUGUGAGUAGUGAAAAAUGGUCCAUAUAUGCUCCACAGCAAAGCAAUCUCCCAGCUUCCUUCCUAGCUCAGCUAUAGCUCCCCCUAGCAGCCUCUCCAUAUUUCCUUGUUUGUGCUUAGCAUAAGGUCCUCUCUUUUCUUUUUUUCAACCCAUAAUAACCCAAUAUAGCACAUCCACUGACAUGAAUAUGAGCCAUAACACCUCACAAUAAACCCAUCCAUCCAUUGGUAGCCUAGGCAGUUGCC